UGCAAAGUGGCCUGGUGCUGGAUAAAAACUUUUAUGGAGUGAUGAGUGUCCCAUAUGCAGAUGCAUUCCAAAUGUACAAGGCAAGCAACCUCCAGAGAAGUUCAACAGCCCUUCAACAAACCAGACAUUUUUGUGGGUUACAAGUUGAGCCCUGAGUGCCGCGUGUUGACAGCGUAUGGAUCCCACGUCUGCUUCUUGGCCAAAACAGCAAAGAUACAAUCAGGGGCUAUGUGACAUGAGUCAGACACUAUCCCUUUUGCCUGAAGACAGGAGUGCAUUUCCCAGG